AAAGUCCCCUUCGGGGGGCGAGUAGAGUGGCGUCCGGGUGAGUAACACGUAGGUAAUCUACCUUUGGGUGGGGAAUAACGCAGGGAAACUUGCGCUAAUACCGCAUAAUGCAGCGGCACCACAUGGUGACAGUUGUUAAAGCGGGGGAUUUUCGAACCUCGCGCCUGAAGAGGAGCCUGCGGCAGAUUAGCUAGUUGGUAGGGUAACGGCUUACCAAGGCGACGAUCUGUAGCCGGCCUGAGAGGGCGGUCGGCCACACUGACACUGACAUACGGGUCAGACUCCUACGGGAGGCAGCAGUCGGGAAUUUUGGGCAAUGGGCGAAAGCCUGACCCAGCAACGCCGCGUGAAGGAUGAAAUCCUUCGGGAUGUAAACUUCGCAAGAAUGGGAAGAAUUAGUAGGGGUUAAUACCCUCUAUGAUGACGGUACCAUUUGUAAGCUCCGGCUAACUCCGUGCCAGCAGCCGCGGUAAUACGGGGGGAGCAAGCGUUGUUCGGAUUUACUGGGCGUAAAGGGCGCGUAGGCGGUCAGCACAAGUCAGUUGUGGAAUCUCCGGGCUUAACUCGGAAAGGUCAACUGAUACUGUGCGACUAGAGUGCAGAAGGGGCAACUGGAAUUCUCGGUGUAGCGGUGAAAUGCGUAGAUAUCGAGAGGAACACCUGCGGCGAAGGCGGGUUGCUGGGCUGACACUGACGCUGAUGCGCGAAAGCCAGGGGAGCGAACGGGAUUAGAUACCCCGGUAGUCCUGGCCUUAAACGAUGGAUGCUUGGUGUCUGGAGUUUUAUAGUCUCCGGGUGCCGUAGCUAACGCGUUAAGCAUCCCGCCUGGGGAGUACGGUCGCAAGACUG
rnacentral:rRNA from 1 species